UCUGACGAUAGCAGUUCCCAAGAGAUAAGACUUUAUUUUGCUAUCUUCUUUGAGAGCAUUUCCUUCAUCCGCUCCUUCAAUUUGGAUUUCUUGGCCAGCUUCUCUCCGAAGCGAAGACAUGACGAUUCAACUCUUCCCCCAUCAGGUAAACGGUUUCUCCUCUAUUAAGAGCGUCUUUUGCUAGUCUAUGUGUAUGCGAGUUCUCUGAUCUGUGAAUAUGUUGAAAGAUAAGUUCUUGAAAAUAGGGUUUCUUAUUCUGAAUGUAUUUGAAAAUAGCUCCAAUCAUUGAUUUACCUGUUAAAGUCGUUUGACAUUUUUUUAUUAUUGUUUUGGAGUCCUCUAUGAGUUUGACUGAUUGAGUUCUUAGUGAGAUCCCUAACCUUGUACCCUUUAAACAUGCAUAUGCCUCUUCUGCAAAUGGUGAGGGAACAUUGUUGUGAAUAACCUUCUUUAGUACCAGUAGAUCUCCCCUCAGAUCUCAUCCCACCAGGCCUGUCGCUGAUUUGAAGUUUCUACUGUCGAACGCUGCGUCAAAGUGGAUCGUUGUUUUUGGUAUGUCCUCCUGGAUUCUAUAGCUUCUGUUCAUUUUAUCAUGAAUCUUCAUUACUUUUAUUCCUUCAUAUUUUGCCAUGUGCCUUUGAAUAUUUUGUGCUAAAACCUUUCCUGUUAUAUUUUCCCCCUCAUGUAUGAAUUGAUUUCUGGAAAACCAUAUCAACCAUAGAGCAUAACAGAAGAGUCGGCAUUGAGGGCCGUUACUUCUCUUGAAAGCCCAGACAAGAAGACUUUCCUCUGCCCAGGAGCAACCACGGAGACAUCUAUCAUUUGAAGUGACUUUCCUGUACUUGAGAUUAGCAAGAUUAGGGAUAUAAUCCCAGGAAAUUGGCCAAAUAGUGAUUGCAAUUUUUUAGGGUAGUUGUAGGCUCCAUAAUUUCCUAUAAAAUUAUUUAGUUUCGGUCUGUAAUAAAUAAUAUUAGGAUUCAAAAUAGCAUAUUGUAAUAGUUUAUAGGCACUGCGCAUUGAAAAUGCACUGGAUAAUACUACUUUCCAAACUUGAGUAUCCUCGUGCUCAGUCUCUGCAAGAGGGAUCUGUAGAAUUUUUUGAGCAAUUUCUGCUUGAAAGCUGUCUUUCCAGAUAGAAAUGUUGUCUCCCCUGCCCACUCUCCAACACAUCCCUUUCUGGAGAAGUCCCUUUACUACCCAGAUACUCUUCCAUGUAAGUGAAGGUAAAUUUCCCAACUCUGCCUUUAGGAAACUUGAUUGCAGAUAGUAUUUUGCUUUUAAAACUCUGGCUAAUAAAGAAUUUGGAUAAUUGAUAAGACGCCAACCUUGUUUAGCUAAUAACGCAAUAUUAAAUUGACCAAGGUUUCGAAAACCUAAACCAUCAUUUUCUUUUAAAGAAAAAAUAAUUUUCCACGUGCACCAAUGAAUUCCCAUUUUUCCACGUCUCUUCUGCCACUAGAAUCUCGCAACGAUACUUUCCAAUUCGUCACAUAGAACUUUAGGUAAUAAAAAAUAAACCAGUGUAUAAGUUGGUAUAGCCUGAAGAAUAGCCUUUAUAAAUACUUCUUUUCCACCCUGCGAUAAGUACCUAUUAUUUCAAUUAUCAAUACGUUUUUUGAAUCGGUCCUUCAAGUUUUGAAAAGAUUCCUUUUUUCUCUGACCCACCAUAUUAGGUAACCCUAAGUAACGCUGUGGUUCGUUCGAGCUAUGUACCCCCAAUAGAUUGACAACUAGUCUCCUAUCCUCCUCCAACAUGUUCUUGCUAAAAAAUACUGUUGAUUUGUUAAAGUUAACACAUUGUUCUGAACAAGAUUUAUACUCGCGUAGAAUGUCCUUGAAGAGAUUAGCACCCUUGCUUGUUGCCUCCCCGAAUAAUAUGCAAUCAUCAGGAAAUAAAAGAUGGGUUACCUGUGGGCUAUUUCUAUUAACCCUAACACCUUUUAAGAAGCCUACAUUGAUUGCUAGUCUCAAUAAGCUCGAUAGACCCUCACCACAUAAAAGAAAUAAGAACAGGCUUAGCGUAUCACCUUGUCUAAGUCCUCUAGAUGGUAGAAAUUUAUCCCCGUUAUACCCAUUGAUGACUACUGAAUAAGAAACAGUGGUAACACAUUUCAUAAUGGCAUUUAACUAGCUUUGAUCAAACCCCAUCCGUAUCAUUAUCUACUUUAUAAAAUUCCAUUCAACCCUAUCAUAUGCUUUACUCGUAUCGAGUUUAAUGGCCAUAUACCCUUUUUUCCCCAAUCUCUUAUGUUUUAACUUAUGUAAUAUUUCAUAGGCUAACAACACAUUAUCUGAUAUUAAUCGACCUGGUGCAAAGGCACUUUACGCCUCAUCAAUGCAUUUUCCAAUAACUCCUCGAAAUCGAUUUGCUAUUGCCUUUGCUAGAAUUUUAUAAGUACAUUGCAUAGGCUAAUUGGUCGGAACUGCAUCAUAUUAGAAGGGUAGUAACUUUUGGGAUAAGUACUAUAUUGGUAGAGUUAAUUGGACUAACCUCUAUAUCUCCGUUUAGAAUUUGUAAGCAAAAGGAGGCAACUUCUUCUCCAACAAUCUGCCAGUAUUCCUGAUAAAAUAGAGCUAGAAAUCCAUCUUCUCCUGGUGCCUUCAUGGGUCCCAUGUCGAAAACUACUUCUACAGUUUCAUCUUUAAUGUAUGUUGCUGUAAGUUUUUGGUUGUCUUCCGCAUAGACACAAUGCUCGAUCCCUGAUAGUAUAUAUUCAUAAUUCUUCUUUCCUCCUGCCAAAAACAAGCUUUGAAAAUAAGACCGCGCAACACCUUCUAUUUUUUACAGUGUAACACCCCUUACCCUUAUCCAACACCAGAAUAGGGCACGAGGCAUUACCAGUACACAUACACUUGUAAACGUAUUUAACCGAGUUAUAAAAUUUCAUCUAAA